rnacentral:rRNA from 1 species
GACGAACGCUGGCGGCGUGCUUAACACAUGCAAGUCGAACGGAAAGGCCCUGCUUUUGUGGGGUGCUCGAGUGGCGAACGGGUGAGUAACACGUGAGUAACCUGCCCUUGACUUUGGGAUAACUUCAGGAAACUGGGGCUAAUACCGGAUAGGAGCUCCUGCUGCAUGGUGGGGGUUGGAAAGUUUCGGCGGUUGGGGAUGGACUCGCGGCUUAUCAGCUUGUUGGUGGGGUAGUGGCUUACCAAGGCUUUGACGGGUAGCCGGCCUGAGAGGGUGACCGGCCACAUUGGGACUGGGAUACGGCCCAGACUCCUACGGGAGGCAGCAGUGGGGAAUAUUGCACAAUGGGCGGAGCCUGAUGCAGCAACGCCGCGUGCGGGAUGACGGCCUUCGGGUUGUAAACCGCUUUCGCCUGUGACGAAGCGUGAGUGACGGUAAUGGGUAAAGAAGCACCGGCUAACUACGUG